rnacentral:rRNA from 1 species
GACGAACGCUGGCGGCGUGCUUAACACAUGCAAGUCGAACGAAGUGGCGAACGGGUGAGUAACGCGUAAUCAACCUGCCCUUCAGCGGGGGACCACGGUUGGAAACGACUUCUAAUACCGCAUACUUCAGGAGGAGCUUGCGUGUGAUUAGCUAGUUGGAGGGGUACCGGCCCACCAAGGCGAGGAUCAGUAGCCGGUCUGAGAGGAUGAACGGCCACAUUGGGAAUGAGACACGGCCCAGACUACUACGGGAGGCAGAAGGGGGGAAUCGUCCGCAAGGGACGAAAGUCUGACCGAGCAACGCCGCGUGAGUGAUGACGGCCUGCGGGUUGUAAAGCUCUGUUAAUCGGGACGCGGUACCGGAAUAGAAAGCCACGGCUAACUACGUGCCAGCAGCCGCGGUAAUUC